ACGCUCGACACCUACUGGAGGCAGCAGUGGGGAAUAUUGCACAAUGGGGGAAACCCUGAUGCAGCGACGCCGCGUGAGCGAAGAAGUAUUUCGGUAUGUAAAGCUCUAUCAGCAGGGAAGAAAAUGACGGUACCUGACUAAGAAGCCCCGGCUAACUACGUGUCAGCAGCCGCGGUAAUCUGAGCGGGCUGGCAAGGC
rnacentral:rRNA from 1 species